ensembl:lncRNA
AUGCUAAAGAAACCAGAAGAGAAAGUGGUCCAACCUGAGGAAAAACGGACCAAAAAGCCAGAUAAGGUAGUCCAACCUGAGGAAAAACUAAAGAAAGCAAAGAAACCAGAGGAGGAAGUGGUUCCACCUGAAGAAAAACUAGAGAAACCAAAGAGACCAAUGAAGGAGAAGGUAGUCCCACCUGCAGAAAAACUGGAAAGGGCAGAGAAAUCAAAAGAGAAGGUUGCCCUACCUGAGGAAUACCAAGUGAAGGCAAAGAAGCCAGAGAAGGAGAAACGAGUUUCGGCUGAAGAGAAAUCUGAGAAAGCAAAAAAGCCAGACGAGGAGAAAUUGGUCCCACCUGAGAAAAAACCUGCAAAGCCAGAGAAGGUGGUCGCACUUGGCGAUAAGCCAGAGAAGGCAAAGAAGCCAGAGAAGGUGGUUCGACCUGAGGAAAAACCAGAGAAGGCAAAGAAGCCAGAGGAGAAAUUGCUCCCACGUGAAGAAAAACCAGUGAAAGCAAAGCAGCCAGAGAAGGUGGUUCAAUCUAAAGAAAAACCAGAAAAGGCAAAGAAACCAAAGGAGAAAGUGAUCCUACCUGAAGGAAAACCAGUGAAGGCAAAGAAGCCAGAGAAGGUGGUUCGACCUGAGGAAAAACUAACGAAAGCAAAGAAAUCAGAAGAGAAAGUGGUCCCACCUGAAGAAAAAACGGUGAAGGAAAAGAGGUCAGAGGAGAAGCUGGUCCAACCUGAGGAAAAACCACAGAAGGCAAAGAAACCAGAAGUGAAAAUGGUCCCACCUAAGGAAAAAACAGGGAAGGAAAAGAAGCCAGAGAAGGUGAUUCAACCUAAAGAAAAACCAGUGACAAUAAAGAAACUGGAGAAGGAAAAAGUGGUUCCAUCAGUAGAAAAACCAGAGAAGGCAAAGAAACCAGAAGAGAAAGUGGUCCCACCUGAAGAAAAACCAGUAAAGGAAAAGAAGCCAGAGGAGAAAGUGGUCCCACCUGAAGAAGAACCAGUGAAGGCAAAGAAGCCAGAGAAAAUGGUUCAACCUGAGGAAAAACCAGAGAAGGCAAAAAAGCCAGAGAAAAAAGUGGUCGCACCUGAAGAAAAACCAGUGAAGAUAACAAAACUGGAGAAGGAAAAGGUGGUUCCAUCAGUAGAAAAACCAAAGAUAGCAAAGAAACCAGAAGAGAAAGUGGUCCCACCUGAAGAAAAACCAGUAAAGGAAAAGAAGCCAGAGGAGAAAGUGGUCCCACCUGAAGAAGAACCAGUGAAGGCAAAGAAGCCAGAGAAAAUGGUUCAACCUGAGGAAAAACCAGAGAAGAUAACAAAACUGGAGAAGGAAAAGGUGGUUCCAUCAGUAGAAAAACCAGAGAUAGCAAAGAAACCAGAAGAGAAAGUGGUCCCACCUGAAGAAAAACCAGUAAAGGAAAAGAAGCCAGAGGAGAAAGUGGUACCACCUGAAGAAGAACCAUUGAAGGCAAAGGAGCCAGAGAAGGUCGUUCGACCUGAGGAAAAACCAGAGAAGGCAAAAAAGCCAGAGAAGAAAGUGGUCCCAUCUGAAGAAAAACCAGUGAAGAUAACAAAACUGGAGAAGGAAAAGGUGGUUCCAUCAGUAGUAAAACCAGAGAUAGCAAAGAAACCAGAAGAGAAAGUGGUCCCACCUGAAGAAAAAAUCGUGAGGGAAAAGAAGCCAGAGAAGAUGGUCCAACCUGAGGAAAAACCAGAGAAGGCAAAGAAGCCAGAGAAGAAAGUGGUCCCAUCUGAAGAAAAACCAGUGAAAAUAACAAAACUGGAGAAGGAAAAGGUGGUUCCAUCAGUAGAAAAACCAGAGAUGGCAGAGAAACCAGAAGAGAAAGUGGUCCCACCUGAAAAAAAAAUCGUGAAGGAAAAGAAGCCAGAGAAGAUGGUCCAACCUGAGGAAAAACCAGAGAAGGCAAAGAAGCCAGAAGAGAAAGUGGUCCCACCUGAAGAAAAACCAGUAAAGGAAAAGAAACCAGAAAAGGUGAUUCUACCUGAGGAAAAACCAGAGAAGGCAAAGAAACUGGAGGAUAAAGUGGUCCCACCUGAACAAAAACCAGUAAAGAUAACAAAACUGGAGAAGGAAAAGGUUGUUCCAUCAGUAGAGAAACCAGAGAUAACAAAGAAACCGGAGGAGAAAGUGGUCCCACCUGAACAAAAACCAGUGAAGGCAAAGAUGGCGGAGAAGGUGGUUCAAGCUGAAGAAAAACCAGAAAAGAUAAAGAAACUGGAGAAGGAAAAGGAGGUCCCAUAUGAAAAGAAAAUAACCAAACCUUCUGUCGAAGCCGAAGUGGAGAAGCCAACAGAAACUAAACCCAAAGACCAGGCACAAAAAGAUGAAAAACCAGAAAAGGAAACGGCUGCAAAACCUGAGAUGAAAAUGACAAAAGGAAAAAAAGAGACGGCUGUGGAGAAAGCCAAAUAUACUGCUGAACCUGAAGUGGACAAACUAAGAAAGAUUGAAACUAAAGAGAAGCAGACAGCAAAAGCUGUGAAAGAACCACAAAAGGAGACAGUUAUUGAAACUGAGAAGAAAGUGGAAAAAUCCAAGAAGGAAGAUGUGGUUCUUGAAAAACCCAAAGUGGAAAAGGUGAAAGAGACUGAAACCAAAGAGAAGCUGACAGUCAAAGAGCCAGAAAAGGAUACAGCAAAAGUCAAGAAAGAAAAAAUGUUGACGGAAACCAUAGAAAAAGCCAAACCACCUAUUAAACUGAAGGUGGAAAAGUUGACAGAGACAGAACCAAAAGUAACAACAAAGCCGGAUAAGGUAUUGGACAAGCCAAAAAUCAGAGAGGAGAAGCAAAAAGAUCAGAAGGCUGUAAAACCUGAGAAGGAAGCAGAGAAAACAAAGAAAGAAGAGGAACCCAAAGUAGAAAAGGCAGCACCAACUGAACCCAAAGCGAAACAGGCAAGAAUGGCUGAGAAGAGAAUAGAAGAAGAAGACAAACCCUUUGAAAAGGCCAGACCCACUGCUGAGCUCACGGUGGAAAAGCUCCCUGAAUCCAGAGAGAAAGAGCGAGCAGGAAAGGAAAAACCUGCAAAACCAGAGAAGAAGGCAGAGAAACCCAAGAGGGAAGACAUGGCUGCAGAGAAGGCAAAACGUCCUGAACCCAGCGCUGCAAAGCCAGAAGAGACUGAAACCAAAGAGAAACCUCCAGAAAAAGCUAAACACGUAGAAAAGGAGAAAUCCGCAAAACCGGAGAAGAAAGCAGAGAAACCCAAAAAAGAAGUGACAACUGAGAAAGUGAAGCCCAGUGCUGAAAAAGUAGAGAAGCUUCCUGAGACUGAAUCUAAAGCAAAAACUCAGAAAGAGCAUGAAAAGGAGAAGGUUUCGAAAGCGAAGAGAGCAGGGGAAGGAAAGAAAGAGGAGAAACUGAAAGAGGCUGAACCCAAAGAAACAGCAAUUCAUAAAAGAGAGGAAGAGCCACCUAAGCUAAAAGCUCCAGGGCCCACUAGAAAGCUCUACAAGAGAAGAGGGCCUGGGUGUGACCCUAUGCCAGUGUACUGCCCUGCGCCCCCUCGUUGGUAUGGUCAUGCAGUUGUCACAAACAAAUCAGAACAGUCUUCAAAGAAGGAAUCUAAUGCCACUGUUGCAGGAAAACAACCAAUUUCUCCCAAACAUGAAGUUGAAAUUCCUAAAAAGAAGGCAGUGGAAAGAUCACCAGAGAAAGAGAAAAAAGAAAAACUGGCCCCGCGUUCAGUUAUUCCGAGAAAAGAGAAAAAAGUUCUGAAAGAAAAAACCAAGGCAGUCCAUAUCAAGAGAGAUAAGCCCGCUGAGAAGAAACUCGCCAAAGAGGUGAAACCAAAAGAAGUGUUGGAGACUUCAAUGGCCGACAUGUUGGAAAGCGCGGAUGUCCACUUUUUCCAAUGCAUCUUUGUGGAUGAGACCAAUGGCCAGUACCCACUGUUCCCCUUCAUGCCCCUACAUUUCAGACUUCCUUUUUGGGACGAGAGAGUUCUUGCCCCAGGGCACUGAGGUAAUGGCGCUUUGUGAAAAGCUGCUUUCGAACCAAAGCCCUGGUCUUAGCAUCUGGAUCCUUGACUAUGGUCAAACCAGACCGUCUGAAAUGGUCUUUGACAUGGACCGAGGACCGAGCCUAUUUCUUACUGUUACUGUUCAGGCAGUGGUUGCAAUUGGGAAAAACUCGUACUUUCAAGUGAGCAAACCCAGUUUUCUGUUUGGGUGUCAUGUACACUGAUGGAGAUUUUGGUGAAAAUAAUUCCCACAAUUCUGGGUGCUGAACCAAUAAAGUGGAGAUAUUCCACA